UAGUCAUAUGCUUGUCUUAAAGAUUAAGCCAUGCAUGUCUAAGUAUAAGUAUCAUACAGCGAGACUGCGAAUGGCUCAUUAAAUCAGUUAUAGUUUAUUUGAUAAUCAAAUCUACAUGGAUAACUGUGGUAAUUCUAGAGCUAAUACAUGCUGUCAAACCUGACUUCCGGAAAGGUUGUAUUUAUUAGAUAUCAAACCAUCAUUGGUGAUGAUUCAUAGUAACUGAUCGAAUCGCAGUCCGCUGCGAUAAAUCAUUCAAGUUUCUGCCCUAUCAGCUUUCGAUGGUAGUGUAUUGGACUACCAUGGCAGUCACGGGUAACGGAGAAUUAGGGUUCGAUUCCGGAGAGGGAGCCUGAGAAACGGCUACCACAUCUACGGAAGGCAGCAGGCGCGUAAAUUACCCAAUCCCGAUUCGGGGAGGUAGUGACAAGAAAUAACAACUCGGGCGGCGCAAGCCGUUGCGAGAUUGCAAUGGGUACAAUUUAAAACACUUAACGAGUAACAAUUG
rnacentral:rRNA from 1 species